AGUGAACGCUGGCGGUAGGCCUAACACAUGCAAGUCGAACGGCAGCACAGUAAGAGCUUGCUCUUACGGGUGGCGAGUGGCGGACGGGUGAGGAAUACAUCGGAAUCUACUUUUUCGUGGGGGAUAACGUAGGGAAACUUACGCUAAUACCGCAUACGACCUACGGGUGAAAGCAGGGGAUCUUCGGACCUUGCGCGAUUGAAUGAGCCGAUGUCGGAUUAGCUAGUUGGCGGGGUAAAGGCCCACCAAGGCGACGAUCCGUAGCUGGUCUGAGAGGAUGAUCAGCCACACGGGAACUGAGGCACGGUCCAGACUCCGACGGGGAGCAGCAGUGGGGAAUAUUGGACAAUGGGCGCAAGCCUGAUCCAGCCAUACCGCGUGGGUGAAGAAGGCCUUCGGGUUGUAAAGCCCUUUUGUUGGGAGAGAAAAGCAGCAGGUUAAUACCCCGCUGUUCUGACGGUACCCAAAGAAUAAGCACCGGCUAACUUCGUG
rnacentral:rRNA from 1 species